rnacentral:rRNA from 1 species
UACGUAGGGGGCAAGCGUUGUCCGGAAUCAUUGGGCGUAAAGAGCGUGUAGGCGGCUUGGCAAGUCUGGUGUGAAAUCUUGCGGCUCAACCGCAAGCGGUCACUGGAAACUACCUCGCUAGAGUCCGGAAGAGGAGAGCGGAAUUCCUGGUGUAGCGGUGGAAUGCGCAGAUAUCAGGAAGAACACCCGUGGCGAAGGCGGCUCUCUGGGACGGUACUGACGCUGAGACGCGAAAGCGUGGGGAGCGAACAGG